rnacentral:rRNA from 1 species
AUAGCGUAUAUUAAAGUUGUUGCAGUUAAAAAGCUCGUAGUUGAACUUCAGACCUGGCUGGACGGUCUGCCUAACGGUAUGUACUGUCUGGCUGGGCCUUACCUCUUGGUGAGCCGGCAUGCCCUUCACUGGGUGUGUCGGGGAACCAGGACUUUUACCUUGAGAAAAUUAGAGUGUUCAAAGCAGGCUUAUGCUCGAAUACAUUAGCAUGGAAUAAUAAAAUAGGACGUGCGGUUCUAUUUUGUUGGUUUCUAGAGUCGCCGUAAUGAUUAAUAGGGACAGUCGGGGGCAUCAGUAUUCAAUUGUCAGAGGUGAAAUUCUUGGAUUUAUUGAAGACUAACUACUG